rnacentral:rRNA from 1 species
UGAGGAAUAUUGCGCAAUGGGCGAAAGCCUGACGCAGCGACGCCGCGUGGAGGAUGAAGGUUUUCGGAUUGUAAACUCCUGUUAAGUGGGAAGAAACGACAAAAUAUAAUACAUUUUGUAACUGACGGUACCAUUAAAGAAAGCACCGGCUAACUUCGUGCCAGCAGCCGCGGUAAUACGAGGGGUGCAAGCGUUAUUCGGAAUUAUUGGGCGUAAAGGGUGCGUAGGCGGCGUAUUAAGUCAACUGUUAAAACCUCCAGCCUAACUGGAGAUCAGCAGUAGAUACUGGUAUGCUAGAGGAUGGAAGGAGAGAGUGGAAUUCUUGGAGUAGCGGUGGAAUGCGUAGAUCUCAAGAGGAACACCAAUGGCGAAGGCAGCUUCUUGGUCCAUAUCUGACGCUGAUGCACGAAAGCGUGGGGAGCAAAACAGGAUUAGAUACCCUGGUAGUCCGCGCCGUAAACGAUGAUUACUAGAUGUUAAUUCUGCUUGCAGAAUUAGUGUCGUAGCUAACGCGAUAAGUGAUCCGCCUGGGGGACUACGGUCGCAAGAUUAAAACUCAAA